GACGAACGCUGGCGGCGUGCCUAAUACAUGCAAGUCGAACGCAGUGGGGACGGGUGAGUAACACGUGGGUAACCUCCCAUCAGAGGGGAUAACACUUGGAAACAGGUGCUAAACCGAUACUGAUGGAUGGUCCCGCGGUUCAUUAGCUAGUGGGUGAGGUAACGGCUCACCAAGGCCACGAUGCAUAGCCGCCCUGAGAGGGGGAUCGGCGAAACUGGAAAUGGGACGCGGCCCAGACUCCUACGGGAGGCAGAAGUAGGGAAUCUUCGGCAAUGGACGAAAGUCUGACCGAGCAAUGCCGCGUGAGUGAAGAAGGUUGUCAGAUCGUAAGACUCUGUUGUUAGAGAAGCGUUAUCUGACCAAAAAGCCACGGCUAACUACGUGCCAGCAGCCGCGGUAAUUC
rnacentral:rRNA from 1 species